rnacentral:rRNA from 1 species
AACGAACGCUGGCGGCAUGCCUAACACAUGCAAGUCGAACGAGACCUUCGGGUCUAGUGGCGCACGGGUGCGUAACGCGUGGGAAUCUGCCCUUGGGUUCGGAAUAACUCAGAGAAAUUUGAGCUAAUACCGGAUAAUGUCUUCGGACCAAAGAUUUAUCGCCUUUAGAUGGGCCCCGCGUAAAGAUUAGCUAGUUGGUGGGGUAAAAGGCCUACCAAGGCGACGAUCUUUAGCUGGUCUGAGAGGAUGAUCAGCCACACUGGGACUGAGACACGGCCCAGACUCCUACGGGAGGCAGCAGUGGGGAAUAUUGCGCAAUGGGCGAAAGCCUGACGCAGCGACGCCGCGUGGGUGAUGAAGGCCUCGGUCGUAAAGCCUGUCGCAGGGAAGAAUAAGACAUCGGUAUAAUAACG